rnacentral:rRNA from 1 species
AACGAACGCUGGCGGCAUGCCUAACACAUGCCAGUCGAACGAGACCUUCGGGUCUAGUGGCGCACGGGUGCGUAACGCGUGGAAACCUGCCCUUAGGUUCGGAAUAACUCCCCGAAAGGGGUGCUAAUACCGGAUAAUGUCUUCGGACCAAAGAUUUAUCGCCUUUGGAUGGGCCCGCGUUGGAUUAGCUAGUUGGUAGGGUAAAAGCCUACCAAGGCGACGAUCCAUAGCUGGUCUGAGAGGAUGAUCAGCCACACUGGGACUGAGACACGGCCCAGACUCCUACGGGAGGCAGGAGUGGGGAAUAUUGGACAAUGGGCGAAAGCCUGAUCCAGCUCUGCCGCGUGAGUGAUGAAGGCCUUAGGGUUGUAAAGCUCUUUUACCCGGGAUGAUAAUGACAGUACCGGGAGAAUAAGCUCCGGCUAACUCCGUG